GCUGUAGUUAAAACGCUCGUAGUUUAUACAAGGGAUGCAAUUUGUAUGUUUCAGACUAUUGCUAGUUGCUGGCAAAUUCGUUUAUCGAUUAGUUAGUAACCAAGCGUAGUCUUUGCUUGGUUUUCCAAGUAAGCACGUUAGUGCCAAGGGUUUUGGGUCUCUUCUUACCAAAAAGUCUUGGCAUGUGUGGGGCAUAGAUUGCGUUCUGAUUCGAACCGUGAACAAAUUAAAGUGUUUAAAGCGGGCAUUGUACGUUCUUUGAACGUUUUGCUUGAAUAAUUUAGCAUGGGACUCAUUUUCCUUGCAAAAGGAUAAGAAAAAGGAGCCAGGAAGAGGACUCUGGUAUUGCGCGUUUAGAGGUGAAAUUCCGACAUCUUCGCAGGACGAACGGAGGCGUAGGCUGUCAUUGCCCAUCACAUCUCUAUUGAUCAGGAACGAAAGUCAGGGGAUCGAAGAUGAUUAGAUACCGUCGUAGUCCUGACCGUAAACGAUACUAACUCGAGUUUGUAUGUAACAGUUUUUCAAAAAUUGAUACAGAAUCCAAGGGAAACCGUUAAGUCUUUGGGUUCUGGGGGGAGUAUAGUCGCAAGGCCGAAACUUAAAGGAAUUGACGGAAAGACACCACCAGGAGUGGAGUUUGCGGCUUAAUUCGACCCAACGCGGGAAAACUCACCAGGAUAGGACAGAAUGAGGAUUGACAGGUUGAAUAUGGUCCUUUCUUGAUUUUUUGGAAGGUGGUGCAUGGCCGUUCUUAGUUCGUGGAGUGAUCUGUCUACUUAAUUGUGUUAACGAACGAGACCUUAACCUGUUAACUAGGCACUAGUUGAAUUUUAUUCAUGGGUUUCUUACGAAAUCUAGGUCAUUCGGGUUUUACCCGAGCUUCUUAAAGGGACAAUACUGUGUAUUUUAUAUUUUAGCGUAGGGAAGUUUAAGGCAAUAACAGGUCUGUGAUGCCCUGAGAUAUCCUGGGCGGCACGCGUACUACAAUGUCAUUGACAACAGGCUUUCCGCUUCGGCGGGCCUCUACCAAAAUGUAGGGGAAAACGUGUCAAACACUUAUAUGACUGGGAUAGCUGUUUGUAAUUACAUCUUAAACGAGGAAUUCCUAGUAAGCGCAAGUCAUCAUCUUGCAUUGAUUACGUCCCUGUCUUUUGUACACACCGCCCGUCGCUCCUACCGAUUGGAUAGCAAGGUGAACUUGAUGGACUCUAACGAGAAAAUUUAUUAAACCUUUCCAUCUCUA
rnacentral:rRNA from 1 species